rnacentral:rRNA from 1 species
UACGGGGGGGGCAAGCGUUGUUCGGAAUUAUUGGGCGUAAAGCGCGUGUAGGCGGCUUUGCAAGUCGGGUGUGAAAGCCCUCAGCUCAACUGAGGAAGUGCGCCCGAAACUGCAGAGCUUGAGUACCGGAGAGGAUGGCGGAAUUCCCCAAGUAGAGGUGAAAUUCGUAGAUAUGGGGAGGAACACCGGUGGCGAAGGCGGCCAUCUGGACGGUCACUGACGCUGAGACGCGAAAGCGUGGGUAGCAAACAGG